UUAAUCGAAGCCAAAAAGAGGCUUUCCAUUGUUAAUGGAAUUAAUGAUUAAUUAAAAAUCCGAUUAAA
rnacentral:tRNA from 1 species